rnacentral:rRNA from 1 species
UACGGAAGGUCCGGGCGUUAUCCGGAUUUAUUGGGUUUAAAGGGAGCGCAGGCCGGCGUUUAAGCGUGCUGUGAAAUGCCGCGGCUCAACCGUGGAAGUGCAGCGCGAACUGGAUGUCUUGAGUGAGUACGACGCGGACGGAAUUCGUGGUGUAGCGGUGAAAUGCUUAGAUAUCACGAAGAACCCCGAUUGCGAAGGCAGUCCGCGAGUCCUUUACUGACGCUAAAGCUCGAAGGUGCGGGUAU